GGCAGAGAAGAGCAGAGCAAGGAGGGCGGGACCUGUCCCACCAGACAAGGAAUGAAGGUGCGGCUCCAGGAGCUGGAAGAGAACUUUCCCCUCCACCUGCCCUCUUCCCUAGAUCCUCUUCUCCAUUGCCGAGGUGUGGAGAACUCAUCAUGAAUGUGAAGAAAAUGUGAGUUCUGGGAACUGUUGAAACACAUGAGUACUAAUGUCCAGGAGCUCUGGGGCAGCAGUUCUGAGCCAAAGGCAGAAGUGGUGCGUAGCUCAAAAUUAACCCCUGGGCUGUGGAAAGCAGUGGAUGAGGAAGCAACUCAGAGACUGGUCUCAGGACACCAGUGCCUAAUUUCAGAAGAGAAAAAGGGAAACCUUGGGGAGAGAAAUGGUUUUACAGAAAACACACGGAGAAGUUGGGGACAAGCGCCAGCAUCCUAAAUGAACGAGGAGAUGUGACAGAUGACAGAUGCAGAGUUGGUAUGUGUUUAAAAAGGCAUGAAUCACCACACACACACA